rnacentral:rRNA from 1 species
CCUACGGGUGGCAGCAGUGGGGAAUAUUGGACAAUGGGGGCAACCCUGAUCCAGCCAUGCCGCGUGUGUGAAGAAGGCCCUCGGGUUGUAAAGCACUUUCAGUGAGGAAGAACGCCUGGUGGUUAAUACCCAUCAGGAAAGACAUCACUCACAGAAGAAGCACCGGCGUAACUCCGUGCCAGCAGCCGCGGUAAUACGGAGGGUGCGAGCGUUAAUCGGAAUUACUGGGCGUAAAGCGCGCGUAGGUGGCUUGAUAAGCCGGUUGUGAAAGCCCCGGGCUCAACCUGGGAACGGCAUCCGGAACUGUCAAGCUAGAGUGCAGGAGAGGAAGGUAGAAUUCCCGGUGUAGCGGUGAAAUGCGUAGAGAUCGGGAGGAAUACCAGUGGCGAAGGCGGCCUUCUGGACUGACACUGACACUGAGGUGCGAAAGCGUGGGUAGCAAACAGGAUUAGAUACCCUAGUAGUC